rnacentral:tRNA from 1 species
GCGGGGGUAUCGAAGCGGUCAAACGAGCUGGACUCAAGAUCCAGUCCCUUAGUGGGUUCGCAGGUUCGAACGCACUGUUAUUACAGGUGUAUUCGACGGUGCCGAACAUCCUGCCUCCCGCA